rnacentral:sRNA from 1 species
CGGCCCACUGUGGUGGAAUGUCUACGGGAAACUGAUGCCUCCCUCAGCCGGAGAGCCCUGGAACUAAGCCUGGCUCUGGUAAAUAGCUCCAAUGUGCGAGCCAUGAUGCAAGAGCUGCAGGCCUUUCUGGAGUCCUGCCCUCCUGACCUACGGGCUGACUGUGCCUCAGGCAUCCUGCUGGCUGCAGAGAGGUGAGGUGCCCAGGAGUCGAAGAGGGUAGAAUCUGGGGAGCGUCAGUACCAGGACUGAUGAGCCAUAUAUCCCCUAGGUUUGCUCCAACCAAACGCUGGCACAUAGACACCAUCCUGCAUGUGCUGACAACGGUGAGGCAGGGGCCAGUCAGAGAGCUGGGCAGAAGUGGUCAAGAUUCACCACACUGACUUGGCCAUGCCCACACCUUCCAGGCGGGCACCCAUGUGCGGGAUGAUGC